rnacentral:rRNA from 1 species
GACGGAGGAUGCAAGUGUUAUCCGGAAUCACUGGGCGUAAAGCGUCUGUAGGUGGUUCGAAAAGUCCACUGUUAAAAAUUGAGGCUUAACUUCAAAGAUGCCGUGGAAACUUUCAAACUAGAGUAUGGUAGGGGUAGAGGGAAUUUCCAGUGGAGCGGUGAAAUGCGUAGAUAUUGGAAAGACCACCGAUGGCGAAGGCACUCUACUGGGCCACUACUGACACUGAGAGACGAAAGCUAGGGGAGCAAAUGGG